CCUACGGGAGGCUGCAGUGGGGAAUAUUGCACAAUGGGGGAAACCCUGAUGCAGCGACGCCGCGUGAGUGAAGAAGUAUUUCGGUCUGUAAAGCUCUAUCAUCAGGGAAGAAAAUGACGGUACCUGACUCAGAAGCCCUGGCUAACUACGUGCCAGCAGCCGCGGUAAUACGUAGGGGGCAAGCGUUAUCCGAAUUUACUGGGUGUAAGGGGAGCGUAGACGGCUAAUCAAGUCGCAAGUGAAAACCCAGGGCUCAACCUUGGGACUGCCUUUGAAACUGAGUAGCUAGAGUGCAGGAGAGGUAGGCGGAAUUCCUAGUGUAGCGGUGAAAUGCGUAGAUAUUAGGAGGAACACCAGUUGCGAAGGCGGCUUACUGGACUGUAACUGACGUUGAGGCUCGAAAGCGUGGGGAGCAAACAGGAUUAGAUACCCCUGUAGUC
rnacentral:rRNA from 1 species